GUACUUUUGUACUUGUGGGACGCCGUGCAAAUAUAGGGGAGACUCUGUCCAUGUGAACAGUGGAUUCCCUAUAUUUGUGGCGGAUCUGACAUACUCUGGGGUCAGAUUUUUUUAAAAAAUAAAAAAAAAAAAAUUUAAACGCUUUUCCGCUGUGUUUCAAACUAAAAGGGGACCCCGGGGCGUGACAAUAGUAAAUUAAAUAGUUAAUUAAUAAUAAAUAAACUAAUUAAGAAUAAAUUAAUGGUAAAUUAAUUAAUUAUAAUUAAAAAAUAAAUUAACAAUUAAUUAAUUAUUAAUUACUAAAUAAAUAAAUAAAGUAAUUAUUAAUAAUUAUAAAUAACAAUAAUUUAAUUAAUAAUUAUAAAUAAUAAAUUAAUAAAUUAUUUUAUUAUUUAAGCACUAAAUAAUAAUUUAAAUAUAUUAAUUAAAUUAAUUAAUUAUUUAAUAUCAUAAUUAAAAUUAUUUUUAGAUUUUAAUUAACAUUAUUCUCAACUGGGAGUAAGAUUAUUUCAGAGAAAAAGUGAAACAUCAGUUCUAAUCUUAUACCGACUUAUUUGAGAAAUUCGAAAAUUACUGUUUUUGGGUGCUAAAUGCAGCGUUUGAAAACAAAUGAGAGAAUAAGAAAUUAUUCCCACUCUGGUUCCACAACCAAACGCUACCUUGAAGAUGGAGUCUUUUUCCAAAUCCCCACAGCU
rnacentral:lncRNA from 1 species